ACCAUGCCUGGUUGUGCAUUUUAUUUGAACUUUUUAAACACAGAGGGUGCUCAGUCUAGGAAGAUGGCCUGUGUCAGAAGGGAAGUUUAAUUAUUUGAGAACAUCUCAUAUUCUUAUAGCCAGAGAGAAAAUGUAUUUGAAAAUGUUUUUGCCUCCCUCCUGAUGUUGUCACAAUGUCCCAUUAGCAAUGAGUCCUUCUCAGUCUUCCUGGAGCAGCAUGCUGUCCUUCAGUAGAUGCUGCUGCCUAAGGACCACUGACAGGGGUUUCCCUGCAAAGAACACUCUUCAUAAUAGCUAAGAGGACUUCAUUAGACCCUCUAAGUAUGACAGAAAAAAGCAAUUUAAAACUAAUUUUUUGAGUAUUUUUCCUAUGUAACUAAAAAAAAAAAUUUUUUUUAAAUAAAAAUAAAUGUCCUUAAUUUAAGUGAAAGUCCCUAACUUCCACCAGGGACUUUUUCAGAGAUGUAGAAAAUAUGAUUAGUAACUUAGUAACAUUCCUGCCUCUAUUCUUCAGGAUGAUAGCUUAUAAAAUAAAGUGUUACAUGCCAUCACAGGGAUAGUGCUAUCACUCAUAUUUUAAAAUGAUAGUCCAGUGUGUUCACUGUCUGUACCAUAAACAGUCCUACUAUAAAAUACAUGAGGCCUCAUCUUUUCACUUCUACACAGGGCUUGAAUUUACCCUGUGUUUAAAUAUGUCUCGUAAGUUCCAGAUAAAUUCAUCUACAAAGGAAAAGGACAAUUUAAUCCCCAAACUAUUAAUUUUUUCAUAAUUGUAAAUUUAUCUUUUCAAUUUUGCAUACUGAGAAAAAGUCUCCCUACAGCAUUAUUAUAAAUGAUUUUAAAUAGUCUUGGCUUUAAAACAUGAAAGAUUAAGCCUUAAUUUUUGUUUUAAAAAAUCCCCUUAAGCAAUAAAUAGGUUCCUUUGUCUCAUGGCCUUGAAAUAAAAAUUAAAAUAGUUUAAAUUGCCUGUGGUUAGAAUAAGUGUUUCAUGCAAUUAUCAGAUAGUAGUGAAUAAAAUUAGAAAUUAAAUCAUGAAAGACUAAAAGGCAGGUGAGUGCAUAUUGUUCCCUUUAUGAGCUCCUCGUGGGUCUUCUGGAGCCUGAUUUAAUCGCGCUUCUUUUCUUUUGAUAGGGUAAUUUUUCCUUUAUUUACUUCAGUCGUCUAUUUGGUUAAUUAAUUCUUGGGUCAUUUCUUAUUACCCACUUUUGAACCUGUUUUUGAGAAUCAUGUUUGUUUUCU
rnacentral:lncRNA from 1 species